rnacentral:tRNA from 1 species
UACAAAGCGGUGUAAGGGCACAAAGAAUUUUGAUUUCUUUAGAGAGGAUCAUCAUCCUCCUGGUAA